ACAAGUGCUUUAAAUAGUACGUCAAAUUUAAGUGUUGCUUUAAUGAACAUAGACAAAGAUUGUUCUUAUCAUAAUAAUAAAAAGUUUUUUUCUGUCCAAAGUAUGUAUAUAAAGUGUGGAAUAAUUAAUAUAUUCGUUGUUGCAUGGGUGAAACUGGGAGGAGCGAAUUCGAAAUUAUGAGACAAGUACAUAUAAUAUGGGGCAGCAAGAUGAGAUGGUAG